AAAUAAUUGCUCAUCGGAGACUGCGAAUGGCUCGUUAAAUCAGUUAUCGUUUAUUAGAAAAAAGGUACUACUUGGNAUACCCGUAGUAAUUGUAGGGCUACAACAUGAAUGAACCCUCCACUUUGAAGAGGGGGGGUAAUGAGCAUGAAAACCGUAUGCUUAUGCAGGAGAGGGAGUAAUAAAUACCUUUCGUAUCCCAUGCUUUCACAACCAUAGCUCUCUCAAGUUUCUGCCCUAUCAGCUUUCUCUGGCCACGGAUUGGACUACCANCGGCCGGUACACGGGGAACUAACAAUUUGGGUUCUAUUUCAGAGAGGGGACCAGAGAGAGCUCUACCAUCUCCCCGGAAGGGCGCGCGAGCGCAAAUUCCCCACUCCUGGCAGAGGGAGGCAUGGACAAUAAAUCACAACGCCGGACUCUUUAAUUUUGCAAUAGGAUUGCGAACAACGCACAAAAGUUAUCGAUAAACAAUUGGAGGGCAAGUCUGGUGCCAGCAUCAGCGGUAAUUCCAGCUCCAAUAGCGUAUAUUAACGUUGUUGCAGUUAAAAAGCUCA
rnacentral:rRNA from 1 species